AAACUUUCAACAACGGAUCUCUUGGUUCUGGCAUCGAUGAAGAACGCAGCGAAAUGCGAUAAGUAAUGUGAAUUGCAGAAUUCAGUGAAUCAUCGAAUCUUUGAACGCACAUUGCGCCCGCCAGCACUCUGGCGGGCAUGCCUGUUCGAGCGUCAUUUC
rnacentral:rRNA from 2 species